CCCUUAGAUGUCCGGGGCUGCACGCGCGCUACACUGAAGGAAUCAGCGUGCUAAAACCAUUGUCGAAAGGCAUUGGUAAACCCAUUAAAAUCCUACGUGAUUGGGAUCGGGAAUUGCAAUUAUUUCCCUUGAACGAGGAAUUCCCAGUAAGUGUGGGUCAUAAGCUCGCGUUGAUUACGUCCCUGCCCUUUGUACACACCGCCCGUCGCUGCCCGGGACUGAGCCGUUUCGAUAAAAGCGGGGACUGCUGCUGUCGGGGCUUUCGGGCCUUGGCUUCGGUGGAAACCGCUUUAAUCGCAGUGGCUUGAACCGGGCAAAAGUCGUAACA
rnacentral:rRNA from 1 species